UACGGAGGAUGCAAGCGUUAUCCGGAAUUAUUGGGCGUAAAGCGUCCGCAGGUGGCUAUGUAAGUCUGCUGUUAAAGAGUGAGGCUCAACCUCAUAAGAGCAGUGGAAACUACAUGGCUAGAGUGCGUUCGGGGCAGAGGGAAUUCCUGGUGUAGCGGUGAAAUGCGUAGAGAUCAGGAAGAACACCGGUGGCGAAGGCGGCCUGCUGGGCAGUUGCCGACACUGAGGCGCGACAGCGUGGGGAGCAAACAGG
rnacentral:rRNA from 1 species